UCGACGCUCUUGACGGACGGGUCGAUGGUCACCUGAACUGCGCCGAGCUCCGUGUCCACGACUGACUGGGAUCGGAUCUCCGAGUGCCGGAUUUGCCCACCCAGGUUCGCCGUCCACGCCAUCGCACCCGCAGGCACCAGUGCCAGAGCGAGGAGCACAGCCGGGAGACGGAGGGGAAUGGGUUUGUGACGGAACCACAACAGCCCGACGAGGGAGAGGAUACCCGUUACCGCGAGAGCAAUGGUGGCGAGCAGGGCCGCCUCCUCGUGAACCUCGAUCGCGGAUUCCGAGACGCCGGCGAGGCCCUCCGCCAGCUCCUCGGCGGGCUCGCCAGUGAAGAACACCGCAAUGGAGAUGACGGCGAGGACCACCAGGAGAG
rnacentral:misc_RNA from 1 species